GAGAGAAGAAAGUUGUUGCUGAGGGACUUCUGCUCUGCCCCCCUGCACCAGGUGACACACUUUCGUUGGUCAAGGUGUUCGUUACAUCUGCCUCAGUACCGGACACACCCCUUAUUUUGACGACAAUUGCUGGGGCGACUACUUUUCGGGUGGUUGUCAGUGAAGAUCCUAUUGAGUGGAACUAUAAGGACCUCAUGCACCACCCCUGAAGCAUAUCGACCGAUUCCUUUAUGUUUUGUCUCUGUUUGCCUUAUCAAUUGCAUGUCGUAGAUGUGCUUGGAUGGUAGGUUUUAAUGGCU